UUACCGAUUGUCUUUGUGGAUGAGAAGGUAGACGCCUCUACAAGUUCUUAGAGUUGUGCAGCAGGUUCAUAACAAUGGGUAGCCAGGGGCCAGGGCGCGUGGGUUUGAAACUCACAGGGGACAACAUCACAUCCAGAGCCAACUUUUCAGCUUCUAAAAUAAAGGGAUGUGAACUUGUCAAGUAGAUAUCUUCAGAUGGAUCUACUAUCUGAUUUAGUUUAUUGUUUCUGAGCUGAGAACCUGCAUUGCAUGUAUCAAAUCCUGUCUUUCAUUAAUUUUCCUAUGUUCUUGUCAUAAGCUCCGCUUGCAUAUGAGUAUAAGGA
rnacentral:sRNA from 1 species